CUGUUCGAGCGUCAUUACAACCCUCAAGCUCUAGCUUGGUAUUGGAUGUCACUAUCUGGUGACAUCUCAAAAGCAGUGGCGGUGCCAUUCAGCUUCAAGCGCAGUAAAUCUCUCGCUGUGGAGUCUGGGUGCAGUGCCUGCCAGAACCCCUAAAUUCAAAGGUUGACCUCGGAUCAGAUAGGGAUACCCGCUGAACUUAA
rnacentral:misc_RNA from 1 species